rnacentral:rRNA from 1 species
AGUGAACGCUGGCGGUAGGCCUAACACAUGCCAGUCGAACGGCAGCACAGUAAGAGCUUGCUCUUACGGGAGGCGAGUGGCGGACGGGUGAGGAAUACAUCGGAAUCUACUUUUUCGUGGGGGAUAACGUAGGGAAACUUACGCUAAUACCGCAUACGACCUACGGGUGAAAGCAGGGGAUCUUCGGACCUUGCGCGAUUGAAUGAGCCGAUGUCGGAUUAGCUAGUUGGCGGGGUAAAGGCCCACCAAGGCGACGAUCCGUAGCUGGUCUGAGAGGAUGAUCAGCCACACUGGAACUGAGACACGGUCCAGACUCCUACGGGAGGCAGCAGUGGGGAAUAUUGGACAAUGGGCGCAAGCCUGAUCCAGCCAUACCGCGUGGGUGAAGAAGGCCUUCGGGUUGUAAAGCCCUUUUGUUGGGAAAGAAAAGCAGCAGGUUAAUACCCCGCUGUUCUGACGGUACCCAAAGAAUAAGCACCGGCUAACUUCGUG